GUGGCGGGUGGCGGCGGCCAGCUCCUUCGGCGAGGGCACUAGCGGCUAGGGUUUGGGGUCAGGUAUGGGUGAGGUUAUUUAUAACCUUCCCCUUUUAAUCUCACCCGUCCAUCAUGGUUUAAUCUGGACCGUCCGAUCGCAAUUAAAAUAGAAAUAAAUCUGGGCCGUCCAUCGCGAUGCGAUCUGGACCGUCCGUGCGUGAUUUAAUCUAGGUCAUCCGCACGCAUGAGAUCUGGGCCGUUCGUGCACGUGAGAUAUGGGCUGUCCGCACGUGUGAGAUAUGGACCGUUCGAUCGCGUGCACGCGGAUCGCUCACGUGGCU
rnacentral:lncRNA from 1 species